rnacentral:rRNA from 1 species
UACGUAGGGGGCAAGCGUUGUUCGGAUUCAUUGGGCGUAAAGGGUGUGUAGGUGGCGCGCUAAGUCGGGUGUGAAAUUUCGGAGCUUAACUCCGAAACUGCAUUCGAUACUGGCGUGCUUGAGGACUGGAGAGGAGACUGGAAUUCAUGGUGUAGCAGUGAAAUGCGUAGAGAUCAUGAGGAAGACCAGUGGCGAAGGCGGGUCUCUGGACAGUUCCUGACGCUGAGGCACGAAGGCCAGGGGAGCAAACGGG